GAUGAACGCUGGCUACAGGCUUAACACAUGCAAGUCGAGGGGAAACGACGGGGCAGCUUGCUUCCCCGGGCGUCGACCGGCGCACGGGUGAGUAACGCGUAUCCAACCGCCUCUGACUGAGGGAUAACCCGUCGAAAGUCGGCCUAAUACCUCAUGGUAUCGUCUGCGGGCAUCCAACGACGAUUCAAGAUUUCAUCGGUCAGGGAUGGGGAUGCGUUUGAUUAGCUUGUUGGCGGGGUAACGGCCCACCAAGGCUACGAGCAGUAGGGGUUCUGAGAGGAAGGGCCCCCACAUGGGAGCUGAGACGCGGACCAAACUCCGACGGGAGGCAGCAGUGAGUAAUAGUGGACGAGGGGCGGGAGCAUGAACCAGCCAAGUAGCGGGCAGGAAGACGGCCCUAUGGGUUGUAAACUGCUUUUAGGCGGGGAUAAAGGGAUGGACGUGUCCCUCAUUGCAGGUACCGCAUGAAUAAGAACCGGCUAAUUCCGUG
rnacentral:rRNA from 1 species